rnacentral:rRNA from 1 species
UACAGAGACUGCAAGCGUUAUCCGGAUUCACUGGGUUUAAAGGGUGCGUAGGUGGGUUGGUAAGUCAGUGGUGAAAUCUCCGAGCUUAACUUGGAAACUGCCGUUGAUACUAUCAAUCUUGAAUAUCGCGUAGGUAAGCGGAAUAUGUCAUGUAGCGGUGAAAUGACUUAGAUAUGACAUAGAACACCAAAUUGCGAAGGCAGCUUACUUCACGAUCAUUGACACUGAGGCACGAAAGCGUGGGGAGCAAACAGGAUUAGAACUUACGAGUCA